UACAGAGGGGGCAAGCGUUAUUCGGAAUUAUUGGGCGUAAAGGGCGCGUAGGCGGCUUUGCAAGUGACGGGUGAAAGCCCUCGGCUUAACCGAGGAACUGCCUGUCAGACUGUGAGGCUUGAGACCGGGAGAGGUGAGUGGAAUUCCCAGUGUAGCGGUGAAAUGCGUAGAUAUUGGGAGGAACACCAGUGGCGAAGGCGGCUCACUGGACCGGUACUGACGCUGAGGCGCGAAAGCGUGGGGAGCAAACAGG
rnacentral:rRNA from 1 species